AUAACAGUGCAAGACAAAAUAGAGGUCACACGUUGGUCUUCUUCUUACAAGUUAAAGGGUUCGCAUGGUAGCGGUUUCAUCUUCUUGCUCAGGCAGUCAAAGGUUUGCCCAAGGAUAGGAAAUCUC